UUGCUUUUGUGGUUUAUAAACGUGAUGAUUGGGUGUUCAUGCUGUUGUCUGAGAUGCGCCUCCCUCAAACCUUGUUACGAUGUUGACACGUUACCUGUCUGACG